rnacentral:rRNA from 1 species
GAUGAACGCUGGCGGCGUGCCUAAUACAUGCAAGUCGAGCGAACGGACGAGAAGCUUGCUUCUCUGAUGUUAGCGGCGGACGGGUGAGUAACACGUGGAUAACCUACCUAUAAGACUGGGAUAACUUCGGGAAACCGGAGCUAAUACCGGAUAAUAUUUUGAACCGCAUGGUUCAAAAGUGAAAGACGUUCUUGCUGUCACUUAUAGAUGGAUCCGCGCUGCAUUAGCUAGUUGGUAAGGUAACGGCUUACCAAGGCAACGAUGCAUAGCCGACCUGAGAGGGUGAUCGGCCACACUGGUACUGAGACACGGUCCAGACUCCUACGGGAGGCAGCAGUAGGGAAUCUUCCGCAAUGGGCGAAAGCCUGACGGAGCAACGCCGCGUGAGUGAUGAAGGUCUUCGGAUCGUAAAACUCUGUUAUUAGGGAAGAACAUAUGUGUAAGUAACUGUGCAAAUCUUGACGGUACCUAAUCAGAAAGCCACGGCUAACUACGUG